AGGAUCAACGCUGGCGGCGUGCCUAAUGCAUGCAAGUCGAACGGGGUGGCCUUCGGGCUGCUUACGUGGCGGACGGGUGAGGAACACGUGGGCAACCUGCCCAUUGGUGGGGGCUAGCCCUCGGAAACGAGGGGUAAUUCCGCAUACGCUUGCCGGCCGAGUCGGGUUGGUAAGGAAAGGCCCUUCGGGGUCGCCGAUGGAGGGGCCUGCGGCCGAUUAGCUAGACGGUGGGGUAACGGCCUACCGUGGCGAUGAUCGGUAGCUGGUUUGAGAGGAUGAUCAGCCACACGGGGACUGAGACACGGCCCCCGACUCCUACGGGAGGCAGCAGCAAGGAAUUUUCCGCAAUGGGCGAAAGCCUGACGGAGCAACGCCGCGUGUGGGAUGACGCUUUUCGGAGUGUAAACCACUGUUCAUGGGGACGAAGCACUGACGGUACCCAGUGGAGGAAGGCCCGGCUAACUACGUGCCAGCAGCCGC
rnacentral:rRNA from 1 species